UCACGUUUUAGCAUGUUUUCUACGGUAGAUUGGACAUUACUAGACAGUAUUAAAGGAGAAAAAUAGGCUUGAUCAGUUUUUAUCGUACGUCUCUUCAGUUUAGAAGGAACCUAAACCCUAGUAAUGCUAGCAGAAUUCUGGUCUAGUUGCACUAAAAGUAGAGAAUCCAUGAAAACUUUUGCAUCUGACUUUGCAUAAAACUCUCUCAGCAAUGUAGCAAGUCAACCAUUGAAAUUAAGUAAAGUAAGAGGAAGAAAGAAGUAAUCGAGUAAAAUAUAUUGUAUGGCACUUAAAUUCAAAUGAAAUUUGCUUUACAAUUUUCCUACUUCAUCUUUUCUUGUCGUCCCACUUUCUUAUUAGAAUGAUACAUACAAAUUUAGGUAUUUGUUGCAACCAAUACGGACCAGGACAUUGUCAUGGGUCCCAAUAUCUCAAAGACUAGUGCCCUUUGAGUCAUCAAAUUAUUUUUUACAUAGAUAUCCA
rnacentral:lncRNA from 1 species